rnacentral:rRNA from 1 species
AUUGAACGCUGGCGGUAGGCCUAACACAUGCAAGUCGAACGGCAGCACAGUGCUUGCUCCUGCAUUCGGCGGCGGACGGGCGGGUAGUUCCUAGGAAUAUGCCUGUUAAUUGGGUCUAACGUCCUGACGCGGGCGCUCAUACCGUAUAAGCCCUGAGGGCGAACGUGGGAGAUCAUCGGACCUCACGCCCUCAGAUGAGCCGAGGUCGGAUUAGCUAGUUGGUGGGGUAACGGCCUACCAAGGCGACGAUCCGUAACUGGUCUGAGAGGAUGAUCAGCCACACUGGAACUGAGACACGGUCCAGACUCCUACGGGAGGCAGCAGUGGGGAAUAUUGGACAAUGGGCGAAAGCCUGAUCCAGCCAUGCCGCGUGGGUGAAGAAGGCCUUCGGAUUGUAAAGCACUUUUAGUGGGAAGGAAGGGCAGUAAGUUAAUACCUUGCUGUUUUGACGGUACCCACAGAAUAAGCACCGGCUAACUUCGUG